rnacentral:tRNA from 1 species
UGUCUAAGGAUGGGAAUCGAACCCACAGUGUUCUGAUUACUGUGCAGAUGCCAUGUCCACUAGGCUACCCUGGAC